GAUGAACGCUGGCGGCGUGCCUAAUACAUGCAAGUCGAGCGAAUGGAUUAAGAGCUUGCUCUUAUGAAGUUAGCGGCGGACGGGUGAGUAACGCGUGGGUAACCUGCCCAUAAGACUGGGAUAACUCCGGGAAACCGGGGCUAAUACCGGAUAACAUUUUGAACCGCAUGGUUCGAAAUUGAAAGGCGGCUUCGGCUGUCACUUAUGGAUGGACCCGCGUCGCAUUAGCUAGUUGGUGAGGUAACGGCUCACCAAGGCAACGCUGCGUAGCCGACCGGAGAGGGUGACCGGCCACACUGGGACUGAGACACGGCCCAGACUCCUACGGGAGGCAGCAGUAGGGAAUCUUCCGCAAUGGACGAAAGUCUGACGGAGCAACGCCGCGUGAGUGAUGAAGGCUUUCGGGUCGUAAAACUCUGUUGUUAGGGAAGAACAAGUGCUAGUUGAAUAAGCUGGCACCUUGACGGUACCUAACCAGAAAGCCACGGCUAACUACGUGCCAGCCGCCGCCGUAA
rnacentral:rRNA from 1 species